rnacentral:rRNA from 1 species
GAUGAACGCUGGCGGCGUGCCUAAUACAUGCAAGUCGAGCGAACAGACGAGGAGCUUGCUCCUCUGACGUUAGCGGCGGACGGGUGAGUAACACGUGGAUAACCUACCUAUAAGACUGGGAUAACUUCGGGAAACCGGAGCUAAUACCGGAUAAUAUAUUGAACCGCAUGGUUCAAUAGUGAAAGACGGUUUUGCUGUCACUUAUAGCUGGAUCCGCGCCGCAUUAGCUAGUUGGUAAGGUAACGGCUUACCACGGCAACGAUGCGUAGCCGAACUGAGAGGGUGAUCGGCCACACUGGAGCUGAGACACGGUCCAGACUCCUACGGGAGGCAGCAGUAGGGAAUCUUCCGCAAUGGGCGAAAGCUUGACAGAGCAACGCCGCGUGAGUGAUGAAGGUCUUCGGAUCGUAAAACUCUGUUAUUAGGGAAGAACAAAUGUGUAAGUAACUAUGCACGUCUUGACGGUACCUAAUCAGAAAGCCACGGCUAACUACGUG